UGGGGAAUUUUCCGCAAUGGGGGGAGCCCUGACGGAGCAACGCCGCGUGCGGGAGGAAGGCCUGUGGGUUGUAAACCGCUUUUCUCUAGGAAGAAGGUCUGACGGUACUAGAGGAAUCAGCAUCGGCUAACUCCGUGCCAGCAGCCGCGGUAAGACGGAGGAUGCAAGCGUUAUCCGGAAUUAUUGGGCGUAAAGCGUCCGUAGGUGGUUUUGUAAGUCUGCUGUUAAAGCGUGUAGCUUAACUACAUAUAGGCGGUGGAAACUACAAAACUAGAGUGCGUUCGGGGCAGAGGGAAUUCCUAGUGUAGCGGUGAAAUGCGUAGAGAUUAGGAAGAACACCGGUGGCGAAAGCGCUCUGCGAGGCCGCAACUGACACUGAGGGACGAAAGCGAGGGGAGCGAAUGGGAUUAGAUACCCCCGUAGUCC
rnacentral:rRNA from 1 species